rnacentral:rRNA from 1 species
AUACGUAGGAGACGAGCGUUAUCCGGAUUUACUGGGCGUAAAGAGCAUGUAGGCGGGCUUCUAAGUCAGCUGUGAAAUCUCUCGGCUUAACUGAGAGAAGUCAGUUGAAACUGGAGGUCUUGAGGGCAGAAGAGGAAAGUGGAAUUCCCGGUGUAGUGGUGGAAUACGUAGAUAUCGGGAGGAACACCAGUGGCGAAGGCGGCUUUCUGGUCUGUGCCUGACGCUGAGAUGCGAAAGCGUGGGUAGCGAACGGGAUUAGAUACCCCGGUAGUCCACGCCCUAAACGAUGGAUACUAGGUGUUGGCGGUCUUUACCCCGCCGGUGCCAAAGUUAACGCGAUAAGUAUCCCGCCUGAGGACUACGGUCGCAAGACUAAA